rnacentral:rRNA from 1 species
GCCGGCGACCGGCGCAAGGGUGCGUAACGCGUGAGCAACAUGCCCGUAUCAGGGGGAUAAUCCAUGGAAACGUGGUCUAAUACCCCAUAGUAAUUAUGUAAGGCAUCUUAUAUAAUUUAAAGCUUUGGUGGAUACGGAUUGGCUCGCGUGACAUUAGCUAGAUGGUAAGGUAACGGCUUACCAUGGCUACGAUGUCUAGGGGUUCUGAGAGGAAGGUCCCCCACACUGGAACUGAGACACGGUCCAGACUCCUACGGGAGGCAGCAGUGAGGAAUAUUGGACAAUGGAUGGAAAUCUGAUCCAGCCAUGCCGCGUGCAGGAAGACGGCCCUAUGGGUUGUAAACUGCUUUUGUAUGGGAGCAAUAAGGGCUACGUGUAGUCCGAUGAGAGUACCAUACGAAUAAGCACCGGCUAACUCCGUGCCAGCCGCCGC